UGAAACAUUUCUAAACUACGAGGCCUAAACACAGUCCAUCCAUUUUUUUCCCGAAAGCGAUAAUGAAAUAAGGUUUCUGCGGCUGCAGAUAGAAGAAGAGUCUUUAUCUCCGAUCGCAGAAGGGGCGACCAGUAGGGAACACGGACAUUAAGAACAAUGGGCAAAGAGGCACUGGAAGCUUUGGGAAGAGGAUGAACAAGACAGAUCCGCGCAGAGGGCGAUGUGGCUGAGGUACAUCAUCUUCAAUAGAGCCGGUGUAUUUCCAGUUUGAACUUUGCUCAAGCUAUUAGAGUCUUCAGAUGAAUUGUGUUGCCUCGAUGUUAAUCCUUAGUUUUUUAUUUCAUGGAAGACAAGUUUGUUUCAAGAUAACUUUUUCAGUAAUAAUUAUCUUGUUUAAGUAAAAAAAAUACAUUUUAAAAAGUAA